rnacentral:ncRNA from 26 species
CUCUUAUCCUGAGUGGUGGAGGGACAUGGACCCAACGAAACCCAGCAACCUCUUUUUAGUAAAGAAAGGUGCCAAACCGUUUGCAGACAUAUAUCGUCUGAACGAUAAGAG